GCCUGGAUGGUGGAAUUGGUAGACACGCAAGACUUAAAAUCUUGUUUCUUCGGGAGUGCGGGUUCGAUUCCCGCUCUAGGCACCA
rnacentral:tRNA from 1 species